UACGAAGGGGGCUAGCGUUGCUCGGAAUCACUGGGCGUAAAGCGCACGUAGGCGGAUCUUUAAGUCAGGGGUGAAAUCCCAAGGCUCAACCUUGGAACUGCCUUUGAUACUGGGGAUCUCGAGUCCGGAAGAGGUUGGUGGAACUGCAAGUGUAGAGGUGAAAUUCGUAGAUAUUCGCAAGAACACCAGUGGCGAAGGCGGCCAACUGGUCCGGUACUGACGCUGAGGUGCGAAAGCGUGGGGAGCAAACAGG
rnacentral:rRNA from 1 species